rnacentral:rRNA from 1 species
ACCCCUUGAGGGUCCUAAAGGGCCGUUGGAGACCACAACGUUGAUAGGUGGGGUGUGUAAGCGCGGCGACGUGUUGAGCUAACCCAUACUAAUUACCCGUGAGGCUUAACCAUACAACACCCAAGAAGUGUUCUG